GAUGAACGUUGGCGGCGUGCCUAACACAUGCAAGUCGAACGAGCAGCCGGAUUCUUCGGAAACCGGUGGGCUAGUGGCGCACGGGUGAGUAACACGUGGAUAAUCUGCCCCGAAGCGGGGGAUAACUGCUGGAAACGGCAGCUAAUACCGCAUGUGCUUGCUGGAUCGGAUGGUCUGGUAAGUAAAGCUUUGGCGUUUCGGGAGGAGUUCGCGGCCGAUUAGCUAGUUGGCGAGGUAAUGGCUCACCAAGGCGAUGAUCGGUAGGGGGCGUGAGAGCGUGACCCCCCACACUGGAACUGAGACACGGUCCAGACUCCUACGGGAGGCAGCAGUGAGGAAUAUUGCACAAUGGGCGAAAGCCUGAUGCAGCAACGCCGCGUGGGGGAUGAAGGCCUUCGGGUUGUAAACCCCUUUUCUGCGUGAAGAGAAAGGACGGUAGCGCAGGAAUAAGUCUCGGCUAACUACGUGCCAGCAGCCGCGGUAAAACGUAGGAGGCGAACGUUAUCCGGAUUUACUGGGCGUAAAGCGCUCGCAGGCGGCUUCGUAAGUCUGACGUGAAAGCCCCCGGCUUAACUGGGGGAGGUCGUUGGAUACUGCGGAGCUUGAGGACAGGAGAGGAAAGUGGAAUUCCCGGUGUAGCGGUGGAAUGCGUAGAUAUCGGGAGGAACUCCAGUGGCGAAGGCGACUUUCUGGCCUGUUCCUGACGCUCAGGAGCGAAAGCGUGGGUAGCGAACAGGAUUAGAUACCCUGGUAGUCCACGCUGUAAACGAUGUGAACUAGGUGUUGGCGCUGUUAUGGCGUCAGUGCCGGAGCUAACGCGUUAAGUUCACCGCCUGGGGACUACGGCCGCAAGGCUAAAACUCAAAGGAAUUGACGG
rnacentral:rRNA from 1 species